rfam:Malassezia pachydermatis strain CBS 1879 scaffold1, whole genome shotgun sequence.
ACGGCGUUAGUUAAGGGGUAUAACAGUUGCCUUCCAUCCUGGAACAGCAACAGUGGGGGGUUCGAGUCCCUCACGCCGUA